rnacentral:rRNA from 1 species
UGGCGAACGGGUGAGUAACACGUGGGUGAUCUGCCUUGCACUUCGGGAUAAGCUUGGGAAACUGGGUCUAAUACCGGAUAGGACAGCUGUUUAGUGUCAGUUGUGGAAAGUUUUUUCGGUGCAAGAUGAGCUUGCGGCCUAUCAGCUUGUUGGUGGGGUAAUGGCCUACCAAGGCGUCGACGGGUAGCCGGCCUGAGAGGGUGUACGGCCACAUUGGGACUGAGAUACGGCCCAGACUCCUACGGGAGGCAGCAGUGGGGAAUCUUCCGCAAUGGGCGCAAGCCUGACGGAGCAAUGCCGCGUGAGUGAAGAAGGCCUUCGGGUUGUAAAACUCUGUCCUCAUCCAAGAGAAGGAAAGGUAGUAACUGGCCUUUCCAGGACGGUAGAUGAGGAGGAAGCCCCGGCUAACUAUGUGCCAGCAGCCGCGGUAAAACAUAGGGGGCAAGCGUUGUCCGGAAUCACUGGGCGUAAAGGGCGCGCAGGCGGUCUGUUAAGUCAGAUGUGAAAGGUUAGGGCUCAACCCUGAACGUGCAUCUGAUACUGGCAGACUUGAGUAUGGAAGAGGUAAAGUGGAAUUCCUAGUGUAGCGGGUGAAAUGCGUAGAUAUUAGGAGGAACACCAGUGGCGAAGGCGACUUACUGGGCCAUAAGCGUGACGCGUGAGGCGCGAAAGCGUGGGGAGCAAACAGGAUUAGAUACCGCUGGUGAGUCCACGCCG